GCUUAGUUGGUAAAGCACAAGGCUCUUAACCUUGUGGACGUGGAUUCAAGUCCCAU
rfam:Triticum aestivum genome assembly, contig: Triticum_aestivum_CS42_TGACv1_scaffold_500395_6BL